rnacentral:rRNA from 1 species
GAUUAAGCCAUGCAUGUCUAAGUGGAGUAUUAUAAAGCGAAACUGCGAACGGCUCAUUACAACAGAUAUAAUUUACUAGUUCUUGAUCCUAUAUGGAUAACUGCGGUAAUUCUGGAGCCAAUACAUGCAUCAAGCCUUGGCCUUCGGGUUCAGGGUGCAAUUAUUGGAGCAAAACCAGUCUCGUACUGUUUGCUAACUCUGGAUAAUUCUGCUUAUCGCAUGGUCUUGUACCGGCGAAGUUUCUUUCAAGUAUCUGCUUUAUCAACUAUCGUUGGUAGUUUAUUGGACUACCAUGGUGUUGACGGGUAACGGAGAAUCAGGGUUUGACUCCGGAGAGGGAGCCUUAGAAACGGCUACCAUGUCUAAGGAUAGCAGCAGGCGCGAAAAUUACCCAAUAUCAAAACGAUGAGGUAGUGACGAGAAAUAACGAGAUCGUUCUCUUUGAGGUCGAUUAUUGGAAUGAGUACAAUCCAGAAAUUUUAACGAGUAUCUACGAGAGGGCAAGUCUGGUGCCAGCAGCCGCGGUAAUUCCAGCUCUCGUAAUGUAUAGAAUUAUUGUUGCGAUUAAAAAGUUCGUAGUUGGAUUGUCACGAGGGCAUGGGUCCACCUUCGCGGUGCGUACUCAAUGCUCUCAUUUUGUUGGUUUUCGCGGCGUCGUUUCGGCGGCGUUCGUGAUGCCAGCAGGAUUACUUUGAACGGCUCAAGUGCUCAAAGCGAGUCUUAUGACUGAAUACCGGUGCAUGGAAUAAUGGAACAAGGUUGCGGCCGAGUUUUAUUGGUUUUGUCGGCUGAAACAA